AUUGAACGCUGGCGGCAGGCCUAACACAUGCAAGUCGAGCGGAAACGAGUUAUCUGAACCUUCGGGGAACGAUAACGGCGUCGAGCGGCGGACGGGUGAGUAAUGCCUAGGAAAUUGCCCUGGUGUGGGGGAUAACCAUUGGAAACGAUGGCUAAUACCGCAUAAUACCUUCGGGUCAAAGAGGGGGACCUUCGGGGCCUCGUCGCGUCAGGAUAUGCCUAGGUGGGAUUAGGCUAGUUGGUGAGGUAAUGGCUCACCAAGGCGACGAUCCCUAGCUGGUCUGAGAGGAUGAUCAGCCACACUGGAACUGAGACACGGUCCAGACUCCUACGGGAGCAAGCAGUGGGGAAUAGUUGCACAAUGGGCGCAAGCCUGAUGCAGCCAUGCCGCGUGUGUGAAGAAGGCCUUUCGGGUUGGAAAA
rnacentral:rRNA from 1 species